CAGGGUCCGGCCUGCACCUUCCCGCCAGGCCUGGACACUGGUUCAACACCUGUGACUUCAUGUGUGCGCGCCGGCCACACCUGCAGUCACACCUGUAGCCCCCUCUGCCAAGAGAUCCACACCGAGGCAGCCUCGGUGGCUACAAGCCCUCAGUCCACACCUGUGGACACCUGUGACACCUGGCCACACGACCUGUGGCCGCGGCCUGGCGUCUGCUGCGACAGGAGCCCUUACCUCCCCUGUUGUAACACCUGACCGCCACCUAACUGCCCCUGCAGAAGGAGCAAUGGCCUUGGCUCCUGAGAGGGCAGCCCCACGCGUGCUGUUCGGAGAGUGGCUCCUUGGAGAGAUCAGCAGCGGCUGCUAUGAGGGGCUGCAGUGGCUGGACGAGGCCCGCACCUGUUUCCGCGUGCCCUGGAAGCACUUCGCGCGCAAAGACCUGAGCGAGGCCGACGCGCGCAUCUUCAAGGCCUGGGCUGUGGCCCGCGGCAGGUGGCCGCCUAGCAGCAGGGGAGGUGACCCGCCCCCCGAGGCUGAGACUGCGGAGCGCGCCGGCUGGAAAACCAACUUCCGCUGCGCACUGCGCAGCACGCGUCGCUUCGUGAUGCUGCGAGAUAACUCGGGGGACCCGGCCGACCCGCACAAGGUGUACGCGCUCAGCCGGGAGCUGUGCUGGCGAGAAGGCCCAGGCACGGACCAGACUGAGGCAGAGGCCCCCGCAGCUGUCCCACCACCACAGGUAGCCUUCUCUCUGCCUGCCUCUCCUCCUACCAGGCCGCGGAACUGCUUACGUUGACCCUGACUUUUCCCUGCAGGGUGGGCCCCCAGGGCCAUUCCUGGCACACACAGAUGCUGGACUCCAAGCCCCAGGCCCCCUCCCUGCCCCGGCUGGUGACAAGGGGGACCUCCUGCUCCAGGCAGUGCAACAGAGCUGCCUGGCGGACCAUCUGCUGACAGCGUCAUGGGGGGCAGAUCCAGUCCCAACCAAGGCUCCUGGAGAGGGACAAGAAGGGCUUCCCCUGACUGGGGCCUGUGCUGGAGGUGUGGGCGUGCCCGGGGAGGCGGGGAGCGCGGGAGGGGCCAGUGCACCUGGACGGACACUUGAGAAGGGGGCUGGGGAUUGGG
rnacentral:sRNA from 1 species